GCGUGCUUAACACAUGCAAGUCGAGCGGAAAGGCCCUUUCGGGGGUACUCGAGCGGCGAACGGGUGAGUAACACGUGAGUAAUCUGCCCUGCGCUCUGGGAUAGCCACCGGAAACGGUGAUUAAUACCGGAUAGGACCACUUCACGCAUGUGAUGGUGGUGGAAAGUUUUUUCGGCGCAGGAUGUGCUCGCGGCCUAUCAGCUUGUUGGUGAGGUAACGGCUCACCAAGGCUUUGACGGGUAACCGGCCUGAGAGGGUGACCGGUCACACUGGGACUGAGACACGGCCCAGACUCCUACGGGAGGCAGCAGUGGGGAAUAUUGGACAAUGGGCGGAAGCCUGAUCCAGCAACGCCGCGUGAGGGAUGACGGCCUUCGGGUUGUAAACCUCUUUCAGUACCGACGAAGCGAAAGUGACGGUAGGUACAGAAGAAGGACCGGCCAACUACGUGCCAGCAGCCGCGGUAAUACGUAGGGUCCGAGCGUUGUCCGGAAUUAUUGGGCGUAAAGGGCUCGUAGGCGGUUUGUCGCGUCGGGAGUGAAAACACCGGGCUUAACUCGGUGCUUGCUUUCGAUACGGGCAGACUAGAGGUAUGCAGGGGAGAAUGGAAUUCCUGGUGUAGCGGUGAAAUGCGCAGAUAUCAGGAGGACACCGGUGGCGAAGCGGUUCUCUGGGCAUUA
rnacentral:rRNA from 1 species